rnacentral:rRNA from 1 species
AUUGAACGCUGGCGGCAUGCCUUACACAUGCAAGUCGAACGGUAACAGGUCUUCGGAUGCUGACGAGUGGCGAACGGGUGAGUAAUACAUCGGAACGUGCCCGAGAGUGGGGGAUAACGAAGCGAAAGCUUUGCUAAUACCGCAUACGAUCUCAGGAUGAAAGCAGGGGACCGCAAGGCCUUGCGCUCACGGAGCGGCCGAUGGCAGAUUAGGUAGUUGGUGGGGUAAAGGCCCACCAAGGCGACGAUCCGUAGCUGGUCUGAGAGGAUGAUCAGCCACACUGGGACUGAGACACGGCCCAGACUCCUACGGGAGGCAGCAGUGGGGAAUAUUGGACAAUGGGCGCAAGCCUGAUCCAGCAAUGCCGCGUGGGUGAAGAAGGCCUUCGGGUUGUAAAGCCCUUUUGUACGGAGAAAUCUACGUUGAUUAAUACCUGACGAGAGUGACGGUACCGUAAGAAUAAGACACCGGCGUAACUUCGUGCCAGCAGCCG